UACGUAGGGCGCAAGCGUUUGUCCGGAAUUAUUGGGCGUAAAGAGCUCGUAGGCGGUUUGUCGCGUCUGCCGUGAAAACCCGAGGCUUAACCUCGUGGCUUGCGGUGGAUACGGGCAGACUAGAGGUAGGUAGGGGAGAAUGGAAUUCCCGGUGUAGCGGUGAAAUGCGCAUAUAUCGGGAGGAACACCGGUGGCGAAGGCGGUUCUCUGGGCCUUACCUGACGCUGAGGAGCGAAAGCGUGGGGAGCGAACAGG
rnacentral:rRNA from 1 species